ACCGUGAAGAGUAGAGUCAGAAGAGGUUUCGGUUCCCUGCCUUAUCCUGGGGUCAAUCUCCUUGAAGGCAGGGCAAGUCUUUCCGAAGCACAUGUUAAGUGCUCUUGCCAGGUGUGGCUGGUAGCUCCCAUUCUGGACAACACAGAGAAGGCUUACCUCACCCUAAAAAGUUCUACUGGAAAGUGCUGGUCUAGCACAUCACUACCCAACUGGAAUUGAGAAUGCCUCUCCGCUAAGCCAUUGUCCAUCGAGACUGUAAUGAAAAUAAACUUGUCCUAGUGAAGAAGUGAAGAUACCAAGGGAGUGAUUGUCCUGUUUUCAGAGAAGGAAACCGAGGCUGUGAGUGAUUAAGUCCACUGUCCAAGGUCACUUGCUGUGCCGGGCAGCCACGUCUUCGACCCCUGGGGUGACCCAGGCCACACUGUGCAGUGCUGGGCACGGGACCAGCAGGUCACUCAAGUCACCUUCGCCAGCAGCUUACCUCCCGGCCCUCCCCUUGGGAAUGGCGUGACCAAGGGGUGAAGAGCUGCCCUGGGCAGCCCCAUGAGGCCCUUUUGCACAGUCCGCUAGAGAGCUUAGCACUCAGCCAAAGUCUGCAGGAAGCUUCCCGUGCUGACACCAUCCUAGCCUUCUGAUCAAGAGAUUACAGACACUGUAAAAUAACGAAACGAAUUCAACAACUAACAUUGAUUCUGGAAGCUGGGAAAUUCAAGAUUGAUAUACCUGCAGACUGGUGGUCUGGUGAGAACCUAGGCCCUGAUUUAGAGAUGGCAACUUUUUGCGGUGUCUUCAUGUGUAGGAAGGGUUGAUUCCAAUUUUUCACUGUGAUAAGCAACGCCUUGAAGAACAACCUUAUAUAUGAAUCUUCAGCUGCAUCUCUGUUGGUUUAGAAUAUAAUCAGAGAAGGGUGAUUACUGGUUCAAAGGCUCCCACAAUAGUCCACCUGAGCAGCAGCUGACAAAGUUUGAACUUGUCCUGUGGGCAACAGGGAACCAUAGAGGUUUUAAGCAGAGUGGCAGCAAGACAAGACCUGAGAAGGCCAAUUAGAAGAAGGCUGAAGCAACUCAGGCAGAGAUGAUUGUUUUUGAGCACUCUUAUAAAAUCUACUGCUUGCCUGUUUGUCUAUGAAUGAGAGUUCGUUACCUGGGGAAGAGGAUCAGACCUAGGCAUGCUGGGAACAUUUUCUCCCAUUUAUCCAUGAGCUAAUGAGUAAGUUGGAUUCAGUGAUGUGAAUUUUCACAGAUUCAAUGUUUAAGAGAGAAGAGUGAAAAUCAGUGAAUGAAAGGGAGAGAACAGGGCAGGGACUACAGAGCCCUUGCGAAGCUGUGACCCACAGAAGUGACUGGGUGGGGCAGAACGUUUCCUGUCAUCCCUCUGCCUGCUUUUUAUGAAGCUAAUGCCUACUUGUUUUCAGUAAACUUUUUGUAAGUAAAGUUUUUCCUAGUAUUUUUAGUGUCCCUGACUUUCCCCCUCUUGUUAGUUCCACACACAUUCUUACUCUUCUCCAAGUAAAAACAUUUUUUAAAAUUUGAAAGGUGC